rnacentral:rRNA from 1 species
CCUACGGGAGGCAGCAGUAGGGAAUCUUUCACAAUGGGCGAAAGCCUGAUGGAGCAACGCCGCGUGCAGGAUGAAGGCCUUCGGGUUGUAAACUGCUUUUAUAAGCGAGAAAUAUGAUGGUAACUUAUGAAUAAGGAUCGGCUAACUACGUGCCAGCAGCCGCGGUCAUACGUAGGAUCCGAGCAUUAUCCGGAGUGACUGGGUGUAAAGAGUUGCGUAGGUGGCAUAAUAAGUAGCUAGUGAAAUCUGGUGGCUCAACCAUUCAGACUAUUCGCUAAACUGUUAAGCUCGAGACCGUUAGGGGUAACUGGAAGUUCUAGUGUAGGAGUGAAAUCCGUAGAGAUUAGAAGGAACACCAAUAGCGUAGGCAGGUUGCUGGGACGGUUCUGACACUAAGGCACGAAAGCGUAGGGAGCAAACGGGAUUAGAUACCCCUGUAGUC